ACACGACUGAGAGACUUUCACUUUCACUCCUGCAUUGCAGGCAGAUUCUUUACCAGCUGAGCCACCAGGGAAGCCCAAGAAUACUGGAGUGGGUAGCCUAUCCCCUCUCCAGGGGAUCUUCCUGAUCCAGGGUCUCCUGCAUUGCAGGCAGAUUCUUUACCAGCUGAGCUGUACUUGUCAGUAAUGUUAAUGGAAUCAAUAUGCAUGGGGAAGGUAAUAUUCUGAGUCUGAAUUCCUUCACGCCUCACCCUUUGCCCUGCUGUUCUUCCCCAGGGCUGGGUGCUGCUCCCGCUCACCUCCCCGAGUUAACCCUUGACUUCCUGAGGAAUCUCCUCUGCUCUCUCUGAAUGGACGGCUUUCCCGCUCGUGUGCCCCUUCACGGCACCAGGAUGAGUAUAAUCAGAAGACCCAAGAGAUGGCUAGCAACCAGAUGGAAAGGAGUUGGGUUCCCAAAUGGAGGAAAGCUACCUCUCCAUUUCCAUCACUGCCAUUGGACUGGUUGGUGAAUAAAACAUCAACUUCUACCAUAUCAAGCCACUGACAUCUUGGGAUUUUUUUGUUAAAGUAGCUAGUGUUACCCUAGUACAAAUGAUCUGUACCGGUUAAAAAGGAGGAAGUAGAUUAGUAUAUUUUGACGUAACCAUAUCUCAAAGAUAUAUUGAUGAAGAAAGCAUAUAAUAUCAUGUAUAUUAAAUACAAUUUAUAUAUGCGUGUGUGUGUACAAACACACAGAAAAACUUCCGGAGGGUAAACAGCAAACUAAUCAUAGUGACUACUUCUAAAGAGGGGAGUGGGGCUGGGUAUUGAGGGAAGUGGAGACUUUUGGUCUGCAUUACUGAAACUUUUAUGAGGAGAGUAUUUCUUGUAUUACUUGUGUAAUUAAAAUUAUGAAAGAAAUUGGAUUGGCUCCCUAGGCAAUUGCUUGACUUGAACUGUUCAUGUUUGUUUCUGUCCUCAUUUAUGUGAGGAAAAUAGAUGAAAGCUUUUCAUCCUGCCCUGCUCACCAAUAUCCUGUAAUGAGUAGAGAUUAUUGGGAAUAAUUCCCAAAUUAAGGUUUUUGGCACAGUAAUGAAUAUAUCAAGAAUUUUAAAAACCACAGAAUACUCUAAAGUAACUGGAGAAGACAAAUGCAAAUAAAUCAGUUAUGAUGGCAAAAAUAAAUGCA
rnacentral:lncRNA from 1 species